rnacentral:tRNA from 1 species
UAGCUCAGCUGGUAGAGCAACGCAUUCGUAAUGCGUAGGUCGCCGGUUCAAGUCCGGCCAGUAGCUCCA